GACAUUUAUUUUUGCUUUUUUUUUUUGUCUGAUCCAAAUUACCUUAAUGCCCUCCUAGUAAUUUCUUUUUUUUUUUUUUCGAAAAACAGAGAACAGGGAACACCAGGUAUUUUCGAACCCCUUUCAUUUGGCUGGAGCAGGGUUAGAAGUGCGCAGACGCGCGCGCGCAGAGGGAGGGAGGGCUUGGUUUUCGUUGAGCAUUUUUCCUCCUCCUUUUUGUUCAUCUGUCGCCGGCAACGAUGUGUAUGCCGGUCGUCCGCCGCUGUGGUGAUUCCGUGAAGUCCGAUUUCUUCAUCAUCUUCCCCUGCUUCGCACGCCUUUGUUCAUCUUCUUCCUCCUCUGUCCGAGCAGCGGUCUGGAUGCGCAGGAAAUCUCCUUCUCCUGUUCUCUCUAUUGCUAAGGCGUCCUUCAUCAGUCUCUCCCUCGGCUACUCCUUCCUUUUCUAUCCUUGUUUCCGUGCGGAUGUGCGAUGGACCUUCUUCCUUUUUCAAUGGUUGUACGACUAGCUUCUUCUUCUUGCUUCUUUCGCUGCUGAUUGAAGAGAAGGGGUUCAGGGGAGCUGGAAUUUUCAUGUUUUUAGAGCUAGAUGUUGUGUGGAUUUGAAUUUUAUUUAAGCUUAUUUUAAAUUCAGUUAAAAGAAUGAAAUUUAGAGAGAUUGGUUAAUUUAAAUAUUGAUAUUGAGAAAUUUUGGAAAGGAUAUUGAGGAAGAAGAUGCUUGGUACUUAUUUGAAUUUAAAUGCAUGUGAGAUGUUUGAUAAAAUAAUUGAAAGGAAGUUGAAAUUAAAAAUAAAGAUUUUGAAGAAAAUAUUUUCAUUAAUAAUUCAAAUAUCAAUUUCUAUUUAUGUUUUGAUCUUUGAAAUAUCUAUGGAAUGUUAUGGUAAUGUUUGGGGGAUGUUUGUUGGAUUGGUAGCAAGCCUAAUGAAAAUUUAUUGUAUAUUAUAAAGAGAUUAAAAGAGAAAACUACUUGUUAUAUAUUAUGGGUUAAGCAAUGGUGCCUAUAACAUAUUUAAAAAAGUGUUUGUUAGAAUGAGUUUUGUUUGGCUAUAAAUGUUCUAAAAUCUCAUUAACUUUUGCCAAACUUGAUAAUAAAGGUUUGUGUUUCAAAUCAUGGUACCAUUAGUUUGGUUGGGGUUAGUUAUGUUUAAUUUAAUUAAAAAAAGAAGAAAUUUCUUUAACUUUUAUAAGGACAUAUUUAGUUUGGGUGUCAAUUAUCCAUGGAUUUAAUUAGAGUUUUGUGAAGAAUUUUUAUUGCAAAGCUACUGGAAGACAAAUUGGAUUUUGGAAAAUUGCAUGAUUGAUUAUUAUAUGAUAAUGUUGUUUUGAGACUUGAUUUUGGGAAUGCACUUAAGAUGCUCAAUAAAAUGGGUGAUAGAAGAACUCUAAAAUUUUAGCGAGAUUAAAGGUGGUGUAUAUAUAUACAAGUUUGGCUUCAUAUAUACAUGAGAAGAGUUAGAUAAAAAUGAAGUGUUAAAUAGAGGGAUACACACACACACACACACACAUAUAUAUUAGGCAUAGUAGAGAUUGGAGGAGUUAAGGCAUAAAUUAUAUUUAGUUGAAAGCUUAAGUGAUUAUGGUGUUGUUUAUAUUGUAAAAGAGUUGAUUAAACUUGAGUAAAGAUCAUUGACUUAUCUUUUAUAUUGAAUAAGAUGUUUAGAAAAAGGAAGACUUGACUUUAAAGAGUGAAUUUGUACUUAGGGAAUACUACAAGUAAGUGAAUAUAAUCUCAAUUGAUUUAUAAGCUAAUUAUAUUUUAUCAUGUAUUGUUAAAGUUUCACAAGCUUGUUAAUAUAACUUCACUUUUGUUAUUCACUAUUUUGAAAGGAACUACUUUCAUUUUAUUAAGCUUUAAAAAGGAAAGAUAACACUGCUUUAUGAUUUGGUAUUUUUAAUUAUUUGAUAUCAUUGAUAAUGUUUGAUUUAUGAGUUGGGAAAUGAUUUAUCAAUAUGAUUUAUGCAAGCUUGGUUUCUGUUGUUGGAUUGAUUUCAGAAUGAUGGUUGUUAAUAGUAGUUUCAUUAGUCCUUAGUGCACCAUAGUUAAAUCCUAGCUAGCUUAGUAUUUGUGAGUAUCAUAUUCAUGUUUGUUAUUCAUGAGUUUAAUACUCGCACUUGUUAUUUGUGGGCUUCAUGCCUGCGCUUGUUUUGUGGUUUUCCGCCGUGCUUGUUGGUUAUUUAUUUGUGUUGAUUGUGUUUUCAUGCUUGUUGGUUAAUUACUCUCGUAGAUUGUGUGUUCAUGCUUGUUCAUCAUUCUGAUAAACUCCUGUUUAAAAAAAAUGUUUGGAAUUAUUCAUUUAUUAUUUUUUAAACAAAUUGAUUUGUAAACAAAACUGUUUUUUUUUUCUAUUAUUAUCGAUUUUAUAAUAAUAUAAUUUGAAAAGCUCCAAGCAGAUGUUUUAACAUAAAAUGAAAUUCGAACACCAUGCCAUCAUUAUUUGAGUUCAUCCGUGCGUGAUUAUGAAAUUGCAAAGAAUUUUUGGUUUGUGAGAUAUGAGUCUCUAUUUCGGUUCCUAAUGGAUAUUUCUGUUAACUUCGUAAUUAUUUUAUCAGUGCACUUUUCCUUUAUUUUCUUAAAUUUUGAUUGGGAGGUUAUUCAUUGAAAAGUAUUUGGUUUAAUCCGAGAUAAUGUAGCUGAUAUGGUACAUCCUAUUAUCAAUUGAGGGAUCUUUUUUUUUUUUUAUUGAGUUGGGUGGAGAUUUGUUUUGUAAAUAUUUCCUUUUGAUGCAAUUAUUGGAUUUAUGUAUUAUAUUCUAAAAAUAUGAUUAAGUGCUCUACAUAAACUAUAGUUAGGGUCCUUAUUUUUGUUAUA